GAUGAACGCUAGCUACAGGCUUAACACAUGCAAGUCGAGGGGUAGCAGGGUAGCAAUACCGCUGACGACCGGCGCACGGGUGAGUAACACGUAUCCAACCUUCCCAUAACUCGGGGAUAGCCUUUCGAAAGAAAGAUUAAUACCCGAUAGUACUUAUAUAGGGCAUCCUACAUAAGUUAAAGAUUUAUUGGUUAUGGAUGGGGAUGCGUUCCAUUAGAUAGUUGGUGAGGUAACGGCUCACCAAGUCUUCGAUGGAUAGGGGUUCUGAGAGGAAGGUCCCCAACAUAGGUACUGAGACACGGACCAAACUCCUACGGGAGGCAGCAGUGAGGAAUAUUGGUCAAUGGGCGAGAGCCUGAACCAGCCAAGUAGCGUGAAGGAUGAAGGUCCUAUGGAUUGUAAACUUCUUUUAUAGUAGAAUAAAGUGAUCCACGUGUGGAUUUUUGUAUGUAUACUAUGAAUAAGGAUCGGCUAACUCCGUGCCAGCCGCCGCGGUAA
rnacentral:rRNA from 1 species